CGCUAUCAUCAUUUAUUUCUUAUCUUCAUUCACCCCGAAUGAUUUUUUUUACCCUUAUAUAUCGCCGGGCUUAUUGCCCGGCUUUUUU
rnacentral:other from 1 species